rnacentral:rRNA from 1 species
ACUACGGAAAAGCUGUAGCUAAUACUUGCUUUAUUAUCCUUUGAUUUUUAUCUUUGGAUAAGUAUUUGUUAGGCCUUAUAAGAAAAAAGUUAUUAACUUAAGGAAUUAUAACAAAGAAGUAACACGUAAUAAAUUUAUUUUAUUUAGUGUGUAUCAAUCGAGUUUCUGACCUAUCAGCUUUUGAUGUUAGGGUAUUGGCCUAACAUGGCUAUGACGGGUAACGGGGAAUUAGAGUUCGAUUCCGGAGAGGGAGCCUGAGAAAUAGCUACCACAUCUAAGGAAGGCAGCAGGCGCGUAAAUUACCCAAUUCUAAAGAAGAGAGGUAGUGACAAGAAAUAACAAUGCAAGGCCAAUUUUUGGUUUUGUAAUUGGAAUGGUGGGAAUUUAAAACCUUCCCAGAGUAACAAUUGGAGGGCAAGUCUGGUGCCAGCAGCCGCGGUAAUUCCAGCUCCAAUAGCGUAUAUUAAAAUUGUUGCAGUUAAAACGCUCGUAGUUGAAUUUCAAAGAAUCGAUAUUUUAUUGUAACUAU